rnacentral:rRNA from 1 species
UACGAAGGGGGCGAGCGUUGUUCGGAUUUACUGGGCGUAAAGGGCGCGCAGGCGGCCAUUCAAGUCAGGCGUGAAAGCCCCGGGCUUAACCUGGGAACUGCAUCCGAUACUGGAUGGCUUGAAUCCGGGAGAGGGAUGCGGAAUUCCAGGUGUAGCGGUGAAAUGACGUAGAUAUCUGGAGGAACACCGGUGGCGAAGGCGGCAUCCUGGACCGGCAUUGACGCUGAGGAGCGAAAGCCAGGGGAGCAAAGCGGGAU